CAUGUUCGAUCGAUCCCCAAUCUCAUCCCCUCCCCUCUCUCCCUCUCUCUCUCGCGACCCACACACCCUAACCCUAACCCGACUGCGCCGCCGCGCCCGACAUGGGCGCCGCCGCCCCAACCCACCAACCGGUCCCCUUGCGCCACCACUUCUCGGACCGUGGCCUCCCUUCCCUUAGUCCGCAGUAGCAGCAGUGUCAUCUAGGACGGAGGAGCGCCGUCCGCCGCUGAGGAGCAGCAGCGCGGUCCGCUGCGCGCCGGGAACAUCAGCACCAUACGCCGGAGGAUCCUCUGCACCGACUACUAUUGAGGAGGAGCCCGCUGUUCUUCUUCCUUCAGUGGCGACCCCUGUCACGACCCCGCCUCCAGAUCUCAACAAGAGGUUCCAGGUCUAGGAAAUGGCAUUAUUGGUGUGGUGUUGUUCUGUUUUCUCAAUGAAUAUGAGUCGCUCGAUGGAUGGGAAUUGCUACUUUGCAGGUGCCGAUGAUGCCAGUGCAGGUGAUGCAACGCAGCUCAAGUGGGA